rnacentral:rRNA from 1 species
UACGAAGGGGGCUAGCGUUGUUCGGAAUCACUGGGCGUAAAGGGCGCGUAGGCGGCUUUAUAAGUCGGGGGUGAAAGCCUGUGGCUCAACCACAGAAUUGCCUUCGAUACUGUAGGGCUUGAGACCGGAAGAGGUAAGUGGAACUGCGAGUGUAGAGGUGAAAUUCGUAGAUAUUCGCAAGAACACCAGUGGCGAAGGCGGCUUACUGGUCCGGUUCUGACGCUGAGGCGCGAAAGCGUGGGGAGCGAACAGG